CUGGGAGGGACCAGUUGCUGCUCGGAGACUGGCUGGGCAUCACUCAGUGGGUGUGAGUGGUUGGAUCAGAGGAACUUGAAGAAUAGGAACAAGCUCACCAUAUUGACCCUAGGGCUUGGCAAGGUCAAGACAAGCUGAGAGCAACUUGAACGGUCUUCUGCAUCGCUGAACCCCAGCCUUGCCCCACCAUAACAUCUCUUAUGAGCAGGAAGCUGAAGAUGAAGCUCUUCUUAUGAACUGUGAGAAAAGAUGGAGAGUGCAGCUUCUGGCUUGGUGGUGUGAAGCGCAAGUGUGCAAUGGAGGCCUACAAAAGCACUCGCUCUUUGGAUUUUGGUACUGUUCAGCAGGUGCCACAUACCGACCUACCCUGCUUUGCCAGGAUGGGCAAUUCUGGGUCUGUGCAGAGGCAGCUUUAGGCAACUUAGCCAGAGAGUUUGGACAGCUUCAAGGUUAUGCAGCAGCUGAGUAGGAGUUUUCAGGAACAGUUUUGGACUUUAACUUUUAAUUACAUCCUUUUUUAUUUUUUUUUUCAGUUUGCCCCUAUAGUGCAAUUUGAUUAAGGAAGUACUAAAGGUUUUCCACACCAACAAUUUCACCUUCAAAGGCUUUUGCAGCUGUGACCUCAGACGCUGUCUCUGUUUCACUUAUUUCUCCUCUACUGACAGAAGGAGGAAUUCAUGCUCGCUGUUCAUAAAUAGGAUCAUGGCAGAGAACAUCCUGACUCUAUGUGCAGUCUCUCUGCCUGCAGGCUGUCUGCUUGAUCUGCCAACCCUGAAUUUUCACCUACCCACCUGAUCUGGAAAGGGGCGGAUAUUAAGAUUUUUCUCUGAAAUGAACUGCCGAAUUAACAACUGUCUCUUCUAAGAGCCAUAAAUGGAAAUGAAAGGCUAAUCCCUUGUGCUGUGGUGCUUAGCCCUGAAUUAUGUGGCAGGCACUCGUAAGUGAUGCAUACAAUAUUCUUAGAAACCAUUUUGAUGAUGUGUCACUAUAUCAGCCAGGAGCAAAUGCAGAUGAAAGGCUCAACAGGUAAUGAACCAGACAAAUUCCCUUCAGUCUGAAGUCCAUGUUCUCAUUCAGGAGUUAGAUUUGAAAUCUGCUUGUCCUGGGUGUCAUCAGAGUAUGUUGUGAAAGCGUGGACACAGAUGUCCAGAAAACCUGAAAGGAUUGCUGGCCAGCUCUUGGUUUUUUACAGGUUACAACCGGCUUUGAUGUGCUGCAAAUACACCUACAUGAUCUGUGUCCAGGCUGACAAAUGUCUAGUUCGAUGUUCAGCACUAGUUCCUUCACAGCCUUUCAGUCAAGGGCUUCAGUUAUGUAUUAAUGGUACAGGUCUUUGUGCAGGUUCAACAGCAGAAAUAUCGGUACAUACAGGGGUAGGGAAUAUUUUGGCUCACCAUUGGCCCCAAUUCGGCAAGUACUUCAGUGUGUAUAUAAUUUUAAGCACGUAAGUAAUUCCAGUCAGUCAGUCAGUCUUGUGUUUGAAAGUGCAUUGCUUGACUAGGGAAUUUCUGAUUCUUACAGCUGUUCGGAUCUUGGCUCCUACCAGUCUUCCUCCAAAUUUAAGAGCACUUCUGCUUUACUCUCUUGUGGUAGAAAAGUGGUAGCCCGCUUUGCUCUGUCAGCACAGAUAGCAAAUCUGCUUUAGCUACCGUCCUGUGAGGAUCUAUCGUGUAUGCAUUGGACAGACAACUUGAUGGAAGUAAACACCCUAUGGUUAACUCUGAGAGACUAAGUAAUACAAUAUUGCUAAAGCUGAUACUCCUUAGCUAGGUUGCAUGAAAGUGCAACCUAGACAAUUGGCAAAAAUUUUAACAAGCUUUUAUAAAGUUGGGCAUUUAUUCCACAAAGUUCAGAAGUUUACAGAGCCUAAAUAGGGCAGUACAGAGCAAGAACCAAGAGACAUGUUAGAAAUGGAAUUGCUUUUGCAACUAGGAUUGGGGAAAAAAAUGUAUAAGCUCUUCUGAACUAAUUGAACUAGAACAUGAAGCUACAUCAGUUCCAUGCUGUACAUGAGAUCAAUAUUGUUCAGGCUGUAAAGGAGAAGAUACAGCAGCUUAACUCCUCGGGAAGAGGGAGGACUGUUUGGGACAUUUGGAGGAAAUAUCUCCAAGCCAUCUGCCACUUUGACCCUGGCUGUGGAAGAAUCAACCUGUAACAGGGAGAGAACUGCCUUACAGUGCAGGCCUUUCCCUUCUUUGUGACCAUCCUCCCCUUGAAGAGCAGACUGUCCAGCCUGGCCCAGGUCAAAAUGGGAGAGCGGCAAAAGCAGCAACAGACUUGUUCUUCCUGUGAGGCGGCACUUUUGCUGUUUAUCAGUCAAGCCCAUCAGGUAAACUUCCUUGCUAUUCCAUUAAAUAUGUGUUUAAGUCUUCCCUGUUUUCAAAACUGGUACUGCCUAUACCGUUGAGGUUUUGGGACAUAAACCUUUUUUACGAGAGCCUUGCUCAGUGCUAGGUUUUCCAGACCACAGAUCAUGCAUUCCACUGCUGUACACAUCCAUCAAACCCUUUCUCAUCUCCUG